rnacentral:sRNA from 1 species
UAUCAUCUUAUGUUAUAUUCCGGAUCUAUAAGUACCGAUAGUUUAUUUUGACAGAAGAAAAAU